CAUUUUGGCUGGUGGUUUGUUUUUUUUUUAUGACUGUCUAUGGGACUUGAGGGCGAUUUGAGCUUGCCACCCAAAGGUGCAGCAGCUCCUCGCCAUGCCACCAUGGUCUGUUUGCAGAUGCUUGGCAGACGUUUUGAAAGCAAUUGCUGUUCCUGCUCUCCGCUACCCAGAAGGGAAAAUGGGACAUGAGAGGCAGGUGGGAGGCCUGUUGGAGAGGCUCCCAGGCCAGUUAUCUGCUGCAGGGAGCAGGGCUGUGCACAGAAGGGAGGAGGUGACUCUGCCUUGGGCUGUCUCCUUGCAAAGCAUCUCCUCCCCGAGCUGCUUUGAUGAUGAGUGCCCAUCUCAGACUGGCUGGCGCACUGGAUUAUCUGUCUUGGAUUUAGUGCAUCCUACCCAUCUGAAACAUAGGGAAUGGUUUUUCUCCUGUCAUCCCAGAGUGGGGGACUCUCACUGCCUGUCUGUCUGCUGCCUGCAGCAGGCGUCAGACAUUAGCAGCCAUUCGGCAGGGGCCACUGCUGUGAGCCUAAAGAGUCUGCGAGGAAGAGAGAAAGGGUUGAGGAGAGAUGGGGAAAAAGGGAAAUGAGAGAGACGUGCACGCUUCAAGUAACUCGACCCAAACUAGCCUGGCAGCCCCAUCCCUAGAAACCAAGGCUUUGAAAUGAGAAAUGUUUUUCGUAUCUUAAAUCUCAAGUACAAACAAUAAAAACCAGCCUAGACUGUGUUCUUUGAAGAGAAAGUACGAGUGACCUGAACAGUGGUUAUCAGCAGCGUCAUUAAGAUAAACCCUUAACAUGAUUUAAAGCAUCCGAAACUGAAGGCAGCACUUUCAGAUACUAACAAAAUGGUCUGACAUUGGGGAUGAAAAUCAAUAGUAAUCUGAUGUCACUAAAAAUACUCAAAAGUGUCCCAUGGCUGAUGGAGGUGAGAUUAGUGUAAAUAUUUGUAUUCUAAUCAGUGGCACGCGAGGGCUGGAGGCGGCCUUUCUGUCUAUUUAAUUAAUGGAGUGGCUUUUUAAAAGGAUCCUAAUCAUAUGUGAUUGUAUCUGCUUAUCAACAUUUUUGCUAAUUAGAUGAUAUGGAGGCAGUCACUCUGCUAAUUCCCUCAUCCAAACAGCAUAUCCUGCACAGAUAAAGUACAGUCUCUUUUUAAUAAGAAACAAUCAUGAGACAGACUAACCUUAAUGGUGCUUAUUAUCCGAGGAUCUUUGGGAUUUUCUCUUCUACCCACCCCCCUCCUUCCUUUUCCUCCGGUCGCUGCUUCAGUAUGCCAGAUGGAUGCGGAUGUGGUGGUCCCUGUCCACCCGUGCUCCAGGCACCACCACGUCUCCCUCUUCCCUCCCAGCCAGGCGUCAGGCUGGCAUCAGGCUGCAAGGGCAGGGGGGUUGAGUAGGUGGGGAUGGGGAAGAAAACACUGGGCACCCGGGAGCAAAAUUCCCCAAGAUUUUGGUACCUGGACCACUGCUGACCCCAUAUUUGUGGCCCCCAUCACUGAUCUUGCUCUUGAUACCCUAAAAUGAACUGGUCCAGAAAGGAGUGAGCAUCUCUGAGAUGUGGAUAUUUUCUUGUAUUAUUGUUGUUGCUGUUGUUGUUAUAGUUUCUCCUGUUUUAAAAGGGACUGGGGACGAAGGGAGGUCUCCCUGAGUAUUUUCUUGCCAGCCCCGUUGAUCUCAUGACAAGGCUGGGUUUCUUUUAUCUAAAACAUGAGCCGGAGACAUUUGUUCCAAGUCCUUUGGCUAUCCAAACAAACACAGGUCACGCUUCACCCCGCCAGUCGGGCUGUCAUCAGCUGCCUCCCCCCAGGGCAGCCCCACUCUCCCCCUGCCUGCUCCCAGAGUCUGGCGGGGAUGGGCAAGUGAGCCUGACCUCCUGGUGGGGGGACAGAGGGACCUGCUUGCCUCCAGGAGGAAGUUUGGGACUGAAAUUCUGUCACCCCAGGAUCAUCUGGGUGCACUGGAGGAGAGAGGAGGUAGGUGCCUGGUGUUUAGUCUGGGGAGGUUGUUUGCUGUUUUUGUAGCUGUGGGUGUUGAGCAAAAAAGGCUUGAAUGGUGUGGAUUCCUGCCUCUGCAGGCUGGAGGGAGGGCCAGUGUGUCCUCAGUGCUGAGGCCGGCGGCAGGACGGACAUGGGACAGCUCUGGGGAGCGCUGCCUGGGAGAGACCUGGGGGCUGGAAGGACGGAGCUGAAGGAGGACCCAAAGAACUGGGUCUGGUUCCAGCUUUUCUGAGCCUUGAGGCUGAACCCAAGGAUUGGGCAAGAGGACACAGAUUCUGGGUGGUGGUUAAGGGCAGGAACCUCCCCAGAACUGCCAUUUUUUGAGAUAAGAAGCCAAAGGGGAGGCCUGAUCCUACUUAGUGGAGUCAAGGGCCCUGGCAUGUUUUUGAUGUUACAUCAUGCCCAGGGCAAGACCUUACUCCAGUCUUGGAAAGCAUGAGCAGUGAUGUAACUUGUCUCCACGGACUCUGAUCCCAGCAGAAUUCAGAGCACUUCAGUUUCAUUGCCUGGGUCAUCUCCAUGUGUCAUCUACAAUAUUCUCACCCAGGCGUGGCUCCGCUGAGGUUGCACUCAGCGGUAGGGUUGGCUGGUCCUUCUGCUAUUCCUGCUCUUUGGCACGGUCCCGAACCUCCCUUCCUCUCUCUUCCACGCUCAGGAAUUCAUGCAAUAUUGACCGCCUUCCCGGAGUCGGUUCUUGUUGCCAGUUCCAUGGCUGAGGUCUACAGCUCGAAAAGAGGUGGGUCCUCUGGGCCAAGGAUUGCAUCGCGAGCCGUUGAGUCCUGGGGCUUAACGAGGCACAGAUAAGCAGCGUGCUUAUCAGGAGCCCGCCGCCGGGGUACCUGCUCCAGCCCCAUCAUGAGCGAACAUGUUUUUACCACCCAGCUGCAGGGAGCCGGGAGCGUGCGCGCGGCCGGGCAGUGCGGCUCAGCCGGUGCGUGGUAACUCGUGAAGCCACAGCGACUUUAUCACUUCGCAACAUCCAUACAUAGCCACAGCCUCGAGUCUUCUCAGGGGAAGAAAGGAUGAUGAGUUACUGUCCUGGGAUUUUCGCUCUGUCUCCAGUCAGUGGGAAGUGGUAUGCGGAGCAUUCAUUUAAUAAACCAGAGGGGAAAAGCUGUAGAUCAGCUUCUCAUUAUUUCAGUGCUGGCUCACGCCAUCGCUUGGGUUUGUGCCUGACAGUUCAGUGUGUUAUUUGAGGCCACUCGAGCAUUCUGCAGAAAUGAUGCCACCCUCUCCUUAAAGUGUGGGGUUUGUCCAAGCAGGGAGGGCCUGCCUCCCUUAGUAGUUUUUUUGGUGCCAAUUUCAUAUCAAUUUUAGGUCUCAGUGUGCAAAGGAGGUGCCCACUUUGGAGACUGGUUCCUGCUGAGAGCCACUGCUCCACAGGAAACCUUCUGGAGAUGGUUGUCGUGGUCUGAGACCUCUGGAGUAAAGCAACUCUAGGUCCUUCCACCAGCUUUCUGCAUAGAGCUGGAUGACCCCUGCGAGCAGAGGGCUGAGGAGAGCUCUGUGGAGGAGCAGUGAACAUGCCGGGCUGUUUCAGGGAACGAUGGAGAGUUAGAAACUGCUGUGCUUCUAGGUCCAGAGUGCACUUCUGGGCUGGCAGCCCUUCCCAGAGCAGAGGUGGGGAUGCAGCACCCCGUGCCGACCCGCUGUCCUGCUGGAGCAGAGCUUGUAACCGUGCUGUGAGCAAGCAGAGACAGGCAAAUCAUGGGGGCACACCAGAAGAUGCUAUGGGAUGCCUUUCUCCCCAGUCAAGCAGAUCAAGCAGCCGGCACUCACACCAUGGUCCUGGUUUGUGUGACUCACAACAACUGCCCUUUCCUGGACCGGGCUUCUGAAUGAGAGGAGGAGAGAGAACGUGUAACAGGCAAGAGCAGAUGAAACAGAGAUGAAGGAACAAGGGGGAGGAGGAAUGCAGAGAGAUACUGGUGGGCACUGCCAAAAUGUUGAGCACCAAGAGCCGGCCGCACACAGACAUGACCACGCCAUGGGCAGAGCACGGGCAAGGCUCACGCUCGGCAGGAUUUCCUCUCCGUGCUAUCUCCUCGCUGUGUCUUGCAAGUCUGCAAGGAAAUGUGUCGCCAAUAAUCAGCUGUCUCCAAACAGUUCAGCAUUGCUGGGGCGUUUGUGCUGGCUGCGCGUGGAAGGACUGAUCUUGGAAGGAAACUCCGUGUGAAAUCCCCAGCUUGCUCUGCAGAUGCACGUGCUGGGCCAUUUCUGGACAAGCUUUCAGCUGCCACAGGGGUGCUGGAAGAAGUGGGGAGAGCCCUGAAAUCUUCCCUGAACCGUCUCAGACGGACUGGACUAGCCUGAAGGCCACCAGAACCACAGCCCAGCAGCACAGUUUGGGACGCAAGCACCCCGCACAUGGCAUCCAGCUAUGCUGGGGGGG